CUGAAGGCUUCUCAAAAAGGCAAGCAGCUGCUUUUCUCUCACCUUCUCUCUCUAUCUCUGUUUAAAAUGGCUACUGGAGUCCUGCAAACACUGAGGAAGUGCACUUCCAGGAGCAACGAGGUUGACAGGGUGGCCGGGGCCCUGCCGGGCACUGAGAGCCGCGCACACGGACUCGUUUCGUCACUCGGCCACCCAGGGAGUUAGGCAGCCGUGUGUGCCCGAUUUACAGGCUCUUGGCUCCAGCCUGAACCCACUCGGCACUGUCUCCCUCUGCCAUGGAGAGCAGCCUCUGCUACAAAAAGGAAAGUCAAGACAUAAAAACAGACGAGAGGAAGAGUGCCCCACAAGGGUGCCUGUGUCCUCUCGUCAUCAAGCCACCAUGGUCCUCGCCAGCCCAACAGCUGGGGGCAUCUUCUCAGGGGCGAUUUAUCCUCCUCACUGGCGGCCGCGGGCUCCACAUGCCUCAAGGAUUACACGCUGAGUGAACUCUGUCGGCAGCGAGUCAACGGGAGGCAGGACAACGCGUUCCAUUGUUCCCACCCGCCUUCCCAGGGCCCUGAUUGGCAAGAAAAUGUCUCCGAGAGAUGGAUUGAAAGAAAACAUUCCCCAGGCCGAGGUCUCCCUGCCAGACUGAUUAGCUACCAGCACUCAGAUGGCUCUUUGCAAGACUGGAGGACUCGAGUCUUUUCUGUUACCAAAAAGGCUCUCUUCUCCUUUGUCGAUCCCUAUUACCUGGGAAAUUAACUUCAAAAUGAGGGGGUCCCCGGGGACCACCCACCCGGACUUCCCAGGGCAGGCCAAACUGCAAAUACUCCACCUAUCACUAUUUAUUAGCGUAACUGUUACAGUUUAUUGAGCAUUUACUAGUGUCAAACAUGGUACUGAGCUGCGUAACUGUCUCGACAGUAGAGGUAUCAGACAGCAUCAGGCACGCAGUAUUCGUCUGCACGUAAUGAGGCCUGCCUCCUCCUCAGUCCUGUCCACACAGCCUGGCUGGCUUACGGCGGCCCUGGCUCUCCCUCAGCAGGCGGCAUAGUG
ensembl:lncRNA